rnacentral:rRNA from 1 species
AGAGCGAACGCUGGCGGCAUGCUUAACACAUGCAAGUCGCACGGGCAGGGGAAACCCUGUCAGUGGCGGACGGGUGAGUAACGCGUAGGUAUCUAUCCUUGGGUGGGGGAUAACGGUUGGAAACGACUGCUAAUACCGCAUGAUAACUGAGGUUUAAAGGCGCAAGUCGCCUGGGGAGGAGCCUGCGUACGAUUAGCUUGUUGGUGGGGUAAAGGCCUACCAAGGCGACGAUCGUUAGCUGGUCUGAGAGGAUGAUCAGCCACAUUGGGACUGAGACACGGCCCAAACUCCUACGGGAGGCAGCAGUGGGAAUAUUGGACAAUGGGCGAAAGCCUGAUCCAGCAAUGCCGCGUGUGUGAAGAAGGUCUUCGGAUUGUAAAGCACUUUCGACAGGGACGAUGAUGACGGUACCUGUAGAAGAAGCCCCGGCUAACUUCGCGCCAGCAGCCGC